GUCAAGUUGGCCGAGUGGUCUAAGGCGGUAGAUUUAAGCUCUACUAUCGAAAGAUGCGUGAGUUCGAACCUCACACUUGACA
rnacentral:tRNA from 1 species